UUAAGAGAUACAAAAUGCAGGUCUUAACAUCAAUAUAUAACAUUAGACCUCCCAAAACACUCUAACUCUACUUGAUCAUCCUUCAGACUUCAACCCCUGUAAGGAAAACAAAACUAAAUGGCUGAGCUAAAGCUCAGUGAGGCUUGCCAAGCAAGUUACAUAAAAUAAACACUUAAAUCAGUACAAUUAAGCAAGUAGUACACAUUUCACUGUACAAUCACUUUCAUUAAGUAAUUGAGAAACACUUCGCUAAACAAUCACUUUUAAAAGGAUACGGUGCUCGCAUUAGAGCUACUUCAAUGUCAUUGAGCAUUCAUUUCAGUGUCAAGAGACAUUCAUUUCACUGUCAUUGUACAUUCAUUUCAAUAUCACUGAACAUUCUGCCAAUUCACUUCCUUAUGUCCUCCAAAACAAUAAACAAUUCACUACAUUCAAUAAUCAGUUCAAUAAUCUCCCAACCUCAUGAUAAUACUCGAGUAUAUCGAAACAUUUGCCCAAAGCUGCCGUUCUACCCGACCAAGCCCUUUGCUGGCUCGAAUAGUCCAUUGAAUAGAGGGUUUUCGGGCCCAAUUCAGCCAAUGUGAUAAAAUACACACACGGCUUACAGUCAUGCACACUUACAAUAUCACUUGAUCAAUUAUCAACCUUCAAACUCAACUAAGGCGAGUGCGAUAAAGUACACCCUCGGCUUAGAAGGCAAGGGACAAUUGAGAUACACUUUGCAAUGAAUCACUUAGCAAUAUUUCAUAAUAAGCACAUUUAUCACAUAAUUUCACUUAAGUAACAUAAACAGUUAAACAUAUAAAUUCGGAAACACUCACCGUAAUCAAAAAUUACACUUCGAUCUCGGAAUUGCUUUCUUGCACACCUCUAUCUCCUAAGACAAGUUAUAAUAGCCAUAAUCAUUUAACUACUCAUUUGGUGAGGUUCUAAAGUAUAAUCAACAUACGUGUUGUAUUCUAGCCUUAAGUCACCAUUCCAGCUGAAUUCUCAGCUAUUGCUUUGUUUAAAUGAGGCGACUAGUGCAUUUCUUACAUUCACUCGUCACUUCGACUUUUAGUUUUCAAAAGAGAGGAAGUUUAAGUGGCAAUUCCAGUAUUGUGACUUCAGUACUUUUAUACUGCUAGAUUUAUCGUACUAAAACUCAACAUUAACCUUUAAUAAGGUAAAUUUUAGAAAUAACUACCUUUAAGGUACUUUAUUGUCCUAUAAAUCUCUUUUACUUACUUAUGAUCAUGAGUAAAACUAGUUUAUUACCUUGACAGUGAACAUACAAUGCUUAUAAAGCCGUUUGAAUCAUGUUUUAUUUGUAUAUCUUUUCAUAUAAGUUUUAUAGCCUUUUAGAUCCCUAUAGUUGAUAUAACAACUGUUCUCAUCCAUUUAUCCAUUUAUCUUUAUGUCCGACUGCUAAUUACUCACCAAUUUAAGGUUUAAAUUACUAGAACUCAAGUCCCUUAGCUUGUCACACAAGAUGCAACAAUUCCAGCAACCUUCCUCACAUUUCUCUUCAAGAUUCAUCAAAUUUAUCAACUCAAACAAGGGAAAUAUUCAUGUAUACCAAAUUUAAGGUCUUGUAAGGUGUUUAAACUAAGGUUAAACUAUUUUCAUGCCAAAUUUAAAGAUUAAGGUUAGUGAACUUUUCAUUUCUUUCCUUUUAAGCUAAACCAGAUUCUAGUUUGCUUGUUGUUUAAAUUUGCUCCAAUUCACCAGCUUUUCAAGUGUUAAAAUCAAUAAGAUGUACAUGAAAACUAGGACAAGAUGUUAUAAGAUGUUUUACUUAAGAUUACAGCCAAUUAUCAUGGAAUUUUCGAAAUUAACAUGAGAGUUUCAGCCUUCACCCUCUCUCGGCCAGCAAAACAGAUUUUCCAGCAACAUUACUCCAAAAUUUUCAACAAGGUUUCCAUCCUUUGCUUGCUUUAAACACUAAACACUUAACAUACAUUCUGUCCAAUAUGAAAUGAAUCAUAUAACAGGUAAUUGCAGCAAAUUAUUCCACCAAGAAGUCCCCAUAAAUCUGUCAUCAGCUAACAUAUAAUCUUCCAGCAAUUUGACAGUUUAAAUGUGAAACUUUCUCCACAAAUUCUUCAUUUUUCCACUCCAGCUCAACAUGCAGAGUGUAGUUAUCAUGCUACGGUGUAUCUUGUGCAACAAUAUGAAAUUUACAGCCAAAGAUUCAAAGGGAAAGCUGGAUAAAAUUUUGUUUCCUUCUCUCGGCCAUGCUGAAAAAUUUCAGCAGCUUUCUUUCAACAUUUCAAGCCAAAUCUAUCAACAUUUUUACUAGUUCCAUAAAUAGAUAUCCUAUAAGAUCAGAGAUGAACCUAUUUCAUGCAUUCCUAGCAUAAUUCUCCAAAGGAAAUUCUGGUAACAAGCUGCAAUUCCAGGUCCACUCUCUCGGCCAUCACAGAGUUUUCUUGUAGCUCUUAAUCAGUCAUUAAACAGAAUUUUUCCUCAGCCAAAACUCAUUUUUCCUAGCUAAAACUUAACAUGCAGCUUAAGUAUUCAGUUAUACUAGAUAAUUAAAAGAUUGUUGCAGCAUUUUACCUGCCUUUUUCUAACAAUCGAAGCUGGAAAAGAAGAAACCCGCAGGCAGACUCCUUCCUCCUUCGUUUCCUCAUGAUGAAAGCUCCAAGUUCCCCUUUUUUCUACCUUACUCUCUAACUCAUUCGGUUGACUGGAAGGAAAGAAUGGAUUCAGAGAGCUCCCUCACUCUCACUCUUUCUCUCGGUUUUGGGUAUGGAAAAGGAAGAAAGCUUAGUACUCUGUUAUCUCUAUUUGUUUGCUCUCGGUUGAAGUCCAAAAUGGCAGAGCACUUCCUUUCCCUUGGUCAUUACUUAACUCAGCAAAUGUUCCACCGCCCAAACUGUCAGACAAUUUCUACUCCUUUUCCUUUCCACCGCUUGAUCUAUUAGAGGCUUGCAUUCGGUUCCUAUCACAACAAAUCUUACUUUCUCUAGGUUUUGUUUCUGAAUUCUGAUAGUUUGUGUGAUGGCUGCAUAGUAGUUAGUCUUGAAGUUUGAGGUCGGUUUGGUCUUUUUGUUGUAGUUUAUUUGCUCACCAAGGCCUAAAAUUUUAUAAUUUCAUGCAUGGACUCCUAACUUCGUUUGUAUUUUAGUGAAUAGUUUUCUUACAUUGAUUUUGACACAUUUAACUUUAAGAAAAACUUAUUAGACAUGUACUUGUUAAACUUUUAGUGUAUGUUACGUGUCUAGUAAUAUUUGCAAAUAACAUAAUUUACGAUAUGCACGUCAUCUAUUUAUUUAAUUCGUAAAAUUUUUCUAUACCAUUCUAGGAUAUUUCCUAAAUUCUCAAUUUUAUAAAAAUUCAAUUAGGCAUUUAAUUUAACCACUUAUUCGUUAUAUGUUAUAUUUUCAAUAUCAAGGUAAAUAAAAUAAAAUAAAUGCAAAUUACACGUAAUUUUUCAAGUUCUCACAUUACCUGUGACAGCCCGGUCUCCUCCUAGGGCAUACCCUAGAAGUUAGUGGACCGCCCGCCUGACUCUCACCAGGACUUAUUCACUAACAUUAACUUCAAAAAUAACAAUUCUCAUUAAUCAUCCAAACAUCCAUUCUUAAUACUUCUUAGUAAGACAAAAGCUUUAUCCACUACAAAUUACAAAAGUGAAUCAUCCAAACGUUCAUUCUUAAGUACAUCACCAACUUGUGUGAAAUAUAAAUCUAUCCGUUAAGAGAUACAAAAUGCAGGUCUUAACAUCAAUAUAUAACAUUAGACCUCCCAAAACACUCUAACUCUACUUGAUCAUCCUUCAGACUUCAACCCCUGUAAGGAAAACAAAACUAAAGGGCUGAGCUAAAGCUCAGUGAGGUUCGCCGAGCAAGUUACAUUUAAUAAACACUUAAAUCAGUACAAUUAAGCAAGUAGUACACAUUUCACUAUACAAUCACUUUCAUUAAAUAAUUGAGGAAACACUUCACUAAAUAAUCACUUUUAAAAGGAUACGGUGCUUGCAUUAGAGCCACUUCAAUGUCAUUAAGCAUUCAUUUCUGUGUCAAGAGACACUCAUUUCACUGUCAUUGUACAUUUAUUUCAAUAUCAUUGGACAUUCCGCCAAUUCACCUCCUUAUGUCAUCUAAAACAAUAAACAAUCCACUACAUUCAAUAAUCAGUUCAAUAAUCUCCCAACCUCAUGGUAAUACUCAAGUAUAUCGAAACAUUUACCCAAAGCUACCGUCCUACCCGACCAAGCCCUUUGCUGGCUUGAAUAGUCCGUUGAACAGAGGGUUUUGGGGCCCAGUUCAGCCGAUGCGGCGAGGCAUACAUACGGCUUACAUUCAUACACACUUACAGUAACAUUCAGUCAAUUAUCGACCUUCAAGCUCAACUAAAUCGAGUGCAAUAAAGUACACUCUCGACUUAGAAGGCAAGGGAUAAUUGAGAUACACUUUACAAGGAAUCAUUUAGUAAUAAUUCAUAAUAAGCACAUUUGUCACAUAAUUUCACUGAGAUACACAUAAACAGUUAAACACAUAAAUUCGGAAAACACUCCCAAAUUAUCCAAAUAAUUUACUCUCCAGUCUCGGGUUUGUUUCCUGACUCGCAGCUACUUCCUGAGAUAAAUAUAUAAUUCCAUGGUAAAUUUAUAAUUUGUAGAUGUUCACCAAUUAUUUAAAUCAUUCGAAUUAGGUUUGAGUUUAAAAUAUAAAAUAUAACAUAUUCAACAUUUAUUCUACCUUAUUGUUUAAACUAUUAAAAUCAAGUCUGACCUUAAAAUACAAAAUAUACGCAAUAUUUAUUCCCCAAUUUAUUUCGAGACUUAUUGACUUUAUUAUCUUAAAUCAAGAAACAUACAUACUUUCCAAAUUAAUUAUAUAUAAAAGGUUUACAUUAGGAUUAAAACAUUUGUCAGGAUCAAGCGCUUACCAUUGCACCAAAAGCUAUAGCUGUUAGUGAAGGCGCAACUUUAUUUCCUUAACCACAAUGGCAGUGCAAAGCACCGUACCACGCUCGGCCAGCAUGAGGGUCUGCACCCCUGGGUGCCACGGGCUGGGCGGUUAGUCCCGUCGAACCGGGAUCUGAGGGAUGUUGCUGAUUAGGCCAACAAUCCCUCCCCCAGCAACAGCCAGGGAGAUUCGAACCCGCGACCUCGCUCUGAUACCACUUGUCAGGAUCAAGCGCUUACCAUUGCACCAAAAGCUAUAGCUGUUAGUGAAGGCGCAACUUUAUUUCCUUAACCACAAUGGCAGCGCAAAGCACCGUACCACGCUCGGCCAGCAUGAGGGUCUGCACCCCUGGGUGCCACGGGUUGGGCGGUUAGUCCCGUCGAACCGGGAUCUGAGGGAUGUUGCUGAUUAGGCCAACAACAUUUUCUACUCAAGAUUCUAAGUUUAAAACUUAGGAAUAUUCCAUUGGUUCCCUUUUUAAAUUAGUUAAACUCUAAGUUAUUUGUAAAUUAAAUUUUAUUCCACUACACUCAUCCCUCAAAUUUAUAGGUUUUAACAUAUGUGUUAAGACAAUAUUAAGUGAUUAGAAGCCAAUUUAGGUAUAUAACUAUCAUGAGUUUUCUUCUCAUUUGCUUUAAUUUAACUCUACUCGUGGAACUAGAUAUAGUCGUUAAAUCUCAGAGCAACCUUAGCUAUCAUUUAUGAAAGCUUACAGGGUUGGAAAUUAGAUGAAAUGCUGUUCAAAAAUAGGUUUCCUCACUGCCAGCAUCAAGUAGAAUGCAUUCGGAAAAACAAGAGAGAGGCAACGACAAAGGCAACUUUGCCAAUCUCUGGUGUUUUGAUCAUAAUUGGAGCUACACUUAUGGGUUUGAGGCAAAUUUUAUAGCGUCAACGUUUCUUAUGAAAGCAUCGACACCCAGUUCUCACAUUUUCAGGGUAAAAAAUGGCCGGACAAAAGCACAUUCUGCUUCACUCCCUCGGCCAACCAACCUGCACUCAUUUCUACUUUAGUAUUUAGUUGAGUUUCUACUGGUUCCAAUCUUCCUUGUUGAGGUUUAAGGUCCGUAUGACAUGUUACAUUUACUACACAGGUUUAGAAGUUAAAGUUUAUAGAGGAUCACCAAAGUUUCUUUCUUCUCCCCCCCUCGGUUGCAGCAAAUACUUUUUCCAGUAAAACAGUGGCUUAUCUUUUGACAUUUUCUCGCCUUUACUUCCUCAGUUUCUGGUCUCAAUCACUUAUGCAGAGGACACUCAAUCUACUGCAGGUUAUCCUAUGCUAAGCAGAGUCGUUCAUGACCAAAAUUCAGAGGAAAGAUGGGCUAAAUCCCGUGCCUGAGUUUAGCAGCAAAACCUGAUGCAUGGCAGCAUGCAUCAGACUCCAUCGAAUUCAGUUUUAUGUCCCAACUGAACGUAUAGAGGGUAAUGACUUAGCUAAAAAUUAUCCUAAAGAAAGGAUGACAGUUUAUGAUCAGAAUUCACGAGAAUACUGAAGAAAUAUCUGUUGCAUGCACUUCUUAAUGUUAUCAUCCCAAGAAAAAUUUGAUAACAGUUGCAGGUUCAGGCUUUAAUCUCAGUUUUCUGCAAUUUCCCUUUUCCUGCAAUUUUACAGUUGCUGCCCGACAUUUACUUCAGCCACAAGCUCAAAUUCAUAGCUAAAUUCGACAUGCAGCUGGUGUUUAUCCAAUUAUACCAACUAAACAGCGAGUUGUUAUAAAAUCUUACCUGUUCCCCUUAAAGUUCGAUGUUGCAGGCUGCUCAAGUUUCGGUUUCAGCUCCUCAAUUCCUAGCACUCGAUUCUCCCGUUCCUUGCAGUCCCUUCCUCAGCACUGGCUAAUUGAUUAUGAUGCUUACCUAAGUUGUAACUGGUUUCUCUUAACCUUGCUCUCUCUCUCUUUUCUCACUCACUCGAGUCUGUUUUUGAAAGAAAGUAAGAAAGGACGACAGCUUUGGUUUUGCUCUCAGCCACCGCCAAUUUUUGUUUCUUUACGCUGUUCUCAUUCGGUUCUUGCUUAUUCAGCAAUUUGGUGAUGCAUUCCCUCCUGACAGCUGUCUCAAUUCACCUCCCAAUCUCAGUUAGAUCCUAACCUCCCACCGCUUGGAUUUAGCAGAUAAUUGCCUAGCUUCCAUUCGGUUCCAUUUGUUUUUAUGAAAUUCUGAUAGCUCAAGUGAUGGCCGCAUGGUAAUUAGUCUAGAAUUUUAAGGUUAGUUUGGUCUUUUGGUUGUAGUUUAAUUACUCUCUAAGUCCUGAAAUUUUUAUAAUUUUAUACAUGAACUCCUAACUUCAUUUGUAUUUUCGUGGGAAAUUUCUUACAUUGAUUUUUAACACAUUUAGUUUUAAGAAAAACUUAUUAGACAUGUACUUGUUACACUUCUAGUUUAGGUUACGUGUCUAAUAAUAUUUGAAAUUAACACAAUUUACGAUAUGCAUGUCAUAUAUUUAUUUAAUUCGUGAAAUUUUCUACACUUCUAGACAUGUACUUAUUGAAUUUAUUUUCAAAAUUCUCAAUUUAUAGGGAUUCAAUUAGACAUUUAAGGUAACCGUUUAUUCGUUAUAUAUAAUUUUUCUCAUAUCAAAGUAAAUAAAAUAAAAUAAUUUUAGGGUAUACACAUAAUUUUCUCGGGUUCUCACAUCCGUCCCUCCUUAAAGAAAUUUCACCCUCGAAAUUCAUACAUUCCAUUAUAAAGAGUUCCAAGUAUUCUUUUCACAUCUUAUCUUCUAGUUCCUAGGUUGCUUCCUGUUUCUCUUAAGUGCAACCCUUUAUAAUUCGUAAUGGAUAAUUUUACCUCUCGUUUCCUAGGUUGAUUAACAAUCCCAACCCCUUGAUCCUGUCGGGGUGCUAUACACUCUAAAAGGUCAGUCAUCCGAUUUAAAGCAGUAGCUACUAGAUCACUUAUACGGGUUCCUUGAUCCUGGUUCUGGCUAACUGUAGAUUCCUGCUCUUCCCCUUGCUCUUGGGUUUGCCUGGGUUUACGGCUUCGUCGUCGUGGCCCGACUUCUAUAUCUCACUACUAAUUUAUAUGUGACGGGCGUAGGGUAUACAUAUAACAUUAAACUCAUCCUAAUCAAGUUUUACAUUUAUAAACUCCUAAAUACCUCACACACGAUUUAUCGCAAGUAUACGAAUCGUGAGCGAGUAUAGGGUAUUAAGGGUCGAUCCCACAAGGAAGAUUGCAAUUACCGGUACUACAAAGCUUCUCUAUUAUUUAGACUAUCAAUGAAUUAUAACAAGUAAAGCCUACUGAACUUAUGCAAGAAAAUAACAAAUGAAAUCUCCUUAGGUUGUGGUAUCGCUAACUACUCAUGCAAGUGGUAUAUUUGGAUCAUUGAAUACUACUAUCUAAGCUAAUUAUGGUGUAAUUUCCUUAAACAUGUGAAACCUACUUUCGUAGUGAAUCAACUAUACUCAUAACUAAUCCAUACCUAUUCUCAUGGUUAUGAAAUUAGUUACAAGUUCAUUUCUUCAAUGAAAUUACAUGAAAUUAAUCACUAAAACCACAUAGGUGCACAUCUACUCUCGUGAGUGUACUCCCUUUGUUUAGCACUUCUUGAACUAGUGUUAAAUCUCAAUUUUCAUUGCAGAAACAACACCUUAAAUAAUCACAAUUAAUGGCACUAGAUUAAUCGUGAUUUAAAGGGCCAAAGUGCUAAUUAACUUGCUCAAAUAAUGGCAAUCAAAUAACCAAAUAACAAACACUAACAAUUAUAGAAAGUUCAACCAAACCCAAGGUAUAAACUUUAAAGAUACAUAAUGAACACAAAAUCCAGAACUUGCAUAUUAACUAUACUUAAGAAUCUGAAACAAAAGCUAAAGAGUUGGAGAAGAGAUAACCCAUGUCACUUGAGCUUCAAUUCCUCCUUCUUCAUCUACAUCUUCAUCCUAAUCUAGCCAAUAUACAAGAAUGGAUGAACUACACUUCUCUAUGCUAAACUAAUCUAGCACACAGAAAAUGGAAGAGCUACAUUUCUGCACUCCAAACUUUCUCCCGU
rnacentral:lncRNA from 1 species